AGCGAACAGACGAGGAGCUUGCUCCUCUGACGUUAGCGGCGGACGGGUGAGUAACACGUGGAUAACCUACCUAUAAGACUGGGAUAACUUCGGGAAACCGGAGCUAAUACCGGAUAAUAUAUUGAACCGCAUGGUUCAAUAGUGAAAGACGGUUUUGCUGUCACUUAUAGAUGGAUCCGCGCCGCAUUAGCUAGUUGGUAAGGUAACGGCUUACCAAGGCAACGAUGCGUAGCCGACCUGAGAGGGUGAUCGGCCACACUGGAACUGAGACACGGUCCAGACUCCUACGGGAGGCAGCAGUAGGGAAUCUUCCGCAAUGGGCGAAAGCCUGACGGAGCAACGCCGCGUGAGUGAUGAAGGUCUUCGGAUCGUAAAACUCUGUUAUUAGGGAAGAACAAAUGUGUAAGUAACUAUGCACGUCUUGACGGUACCUAAUCAGAAAGCCACGGCUAACUACGUGCCAGCAGCCGCGGUAAUACGUAGGUGGCAAGCGUUAUCCGGAAUUAUUGGGCGUAAAGCGCGCGUAGGCGGUUUUUUAAGUCUGAUGUGAAAGCCCACGGCUCAACCGUGGAGGGUCAUUGGAAACUGGAAAACUUGAGUGCAGAAGAGGAAAGUGGAA
rnacentral:rRNA from 1 species